UACGAAGUGAGCUAGCGUUGUUCGGAAUCACUGGGCGUAAAGCGCACGUAGGCGGAUGUGUCAGUCAGGGGUGAAAUCCCGGAGCUCAACUUCGGAACUGCCUUUGAUACAGCACGUCUUGAGUCCGAUAGAGGUGGGUGGAAUUCCUAGUGUAGAGGUGAAAUUCGUAGAUAUUAGGAAGAACACCGGUGGCGAAGGCGGCCCACUGGAUCGGUACUGACGCUGAGGUGCGAAAGCGUGGGGAGCAAACAGG
rnacentral:rRNA from 1 species